rnacentral:rRNA from 1 species
AUUGAACGCUGGCGGCAGGCCUAACACAUGCAAGUCGAGCGAGCGGCGGACGGGUGCGUAAUGUAUGGGGACUGCCCGAUAGAGGGGGAUAACUACUGGAAACGGUGGCUCAUACCGCAUACUAUCGGAUAACCCAUAUGGGAUUAGCUAGUAGGGGGGGUAAAGGCUCACCUAGGCGACGAUCUCUAGCUGGUCUGUGAGGAUGAUCAGCCACAAUGGGACUGAGACACGGCCCAGACUCGUACGGAGGCAGCAGGGGGGAAUAGUGGACAAUGGGCGGAAGCAUGAUGCAGCCAUGCAGCGUGUAUGAAGAAGGCCUUAGGGUUGUAAAGUACUUUCAGCGGGGAGGCGUUACCCGCAGAAGAAGCACCGGCGAACUCCGUGCCAGCAGCCGCGGUAAGAC